rnacentral:lncRNA from 1 species
UUGAUUGGAUCCAUUCUGGAUAUCAACCAAGUCGUAUGAUUUAUCAUAUACUGGCGUAAGCGCUUAGCAGCCCAAGCCAAAGCACAACAUGUCUUUUCAAGCAUUGAGUAUCGAGACUCGAAAUCAGUGAACUUCUUACUCAGGUAGUAAAUAGCAUACACCUUCUUCCCUGAUUCGUCUUGCUGACCAAGGACACAACCCAUCGAGUCUUUA